AUUGUUUAUUGUUGAGUUGAAAACUCGAAUUCAUAUGGGUAUUGUGAUUCUACUCUGAAUAGGAAGAUAUGAUGC
rnacentral:snoRNA from 1 species